ACCUGGGUGGCUCAGUCAGUUGAGCGUCUGACUUCGGUUCAGGUCACGAUCUCACCCUUCGUGGGUUCGAGCCCCACCUCGGACU
rnacentral:tRNA from 1 species